GACGAACGCUGGCGGCGCGCCUAACACAUGCAAGUCGAAUUAGCGAGAGAGAGCUUGCUUUCUCGAGCGAGUGGCGGACGGGUGAGUAACGCGUGAGGAACCUGCCUCAAAGAGGGGGACAACAGUUGGAAACGACUGCUAAUACCGCAUAAGCCCACGGGUCGGCAUCGACCAGAGGGAAAAGGAGCACUCCGCUUUGAGAUGGCCUCGCGUCCGAUUAGCUAGUUGGUGAGGUAAUGGCCCACCAAGGCAACGAUCGGUAGCCGGACUGAGAGGUUGAACGGCCACAUUGGGACUGAGACACGGCCCACACUCCUACCGGAGGCAGCAGUGGGGAAUAUUGCACAAUGGGGGAAACCCUGAUGCAGCGACGCCGCGUGGAGGAAGAAGGUCUUCGGAUUGUAAACUCCUGUUGUUGAGGAAGAUAAUGACGGUACUCAACAAGGAAGUGACGGCUAACUACGUGCCAGCAGCCGCGGUAAAACGUAGGUCACAAGCGUUGUCCGGAAUUACUGGGUGUAAAGGGAGCGCAGGCGGAAAGACAAGUUGGAAGUGAAAUCUGUGGGCUCAACCCAUAAACUGCUUUCAAAACUGUUUUUCUUGAGUAUUUGCAGAGGUAGGCGGAAUUCCCGGUGUAGCGGUGGAAUGCGUAUAUAUCGGGAGGAACACCAGUGGCGAAGGCGGCCUACUGGGGCACCAACUGACGCUGAGGUUUGAAAGUGUGGGUAGCAAUCAGGAUUUGAUACCCGGGUAGUCCACACUGUAAACGUUGAUUACUUGGUGUUGGAGGAUUGACCCCUUCAGUGCCGCAGUUAACACAUUAGGUAAUCCACCUGGGGAGUAGGACCGCAAGGUUGAAACCUCAAAGGAAUUGACGGGGGCCCGCACAAGCAGUGGAGUAUGUGGUUUAAUUUGACGCAACGCGAAGAUCCUUACCAAGUCUUGACAUCCUGCGACGAUGCUGGAAACAGUAUUUUCCUUCGGGACGCAGAGACAGGUGGUGCAUGGUUGUCGUCAGCUUGUGUCGUGAGAUGUUGGGUUAAGUCCCGCAACGAGCGCAACCCUUACUGUCAGUUACUACGCAAGAGGACUCUGGCAGGACUGCCGUUGACAAAUCGGAGGAAGGUGGGGAUGACGUCAAUUCAUCAUGCCCUUUAUGACUUGGGUUACACACGUACUACAAUGGCGUUAAGCAAAGAGAAGCAAGUCCGCGAGGUGGAGCAAAACUCAGAAACAACGUCCCAGUUCGGACUGCAGGCUGCAACUCGCCUGCACGAAGUCGGAAUUGUUAGUAAUCGUGGAUCAGCAAACCACGGUGAAUACGUUCCCGGGCCUUGUACACACCGCCCGUCACACCAUGAGAGCCGGGGGGACCCGAAGUCGAUAAUGUAACCGCAUGGAGGACGCCGCCGA
rnacentral:rRNA from 1 species